rnacentral:tRNA from 1 species
GGGGCUGUGGCUCAGCGGUAGAGCGUUUGCUUUGCAUGAAGAGGGUCUCAGGUUCAAUACCCACCAUCUCCU